rnacentral:rRNA from 1 species
UGUACACACCGCCCGUCACACCACGAAAGUCAUUCACACCCGAAGCCGGUGAGGUAACCGCAAGGAGCCAGCCGUCGAAGGUAGGGGUGAUGAUUGGGGUGAAGUCGUAACAAGGUAGCCGUAUCGGAAGGUGCGGCUGGAUCACCUCCUUUCUAGGGAA